ACCUUUUGUAUAAUGGGUCAGCGACUUAUAUUCUGUAGCAAGGUUAACCGAAUAGGGGAGCCGGAGGGAAACCGAGUCUUAACCGGGCGUUAAGUUGCAGGGUAUAGACCCGAAACCCGGUGAUCUAGCCAUGGGCAGGUUGAAGGUUGGGUAACACUAACUGGAGGACCGAACCGACUAAUGUUGAAAAAUUAGCGGAUGACCUGUGGCUGGGGGUGAAAGGCCAAUCAAACCGGGAGAUAGCUGGUUCUCCCCGAAAGCUAUUUAGGUAGCGCCUCGUGAAUUCAUCUCCGGGGGUAGAGCACUGUUUCGGCUAGGGGGCCAUCCCGGCUUACCAACCCGAUGCAAACUGCGAAUACCGGAGAAUGUUAUCACGGGAGACACACGGCGGGUGCUAACGUCCGUCGUGAAGAGGGAAACAACCCAGACCGCCAGCUAAGGUCCCAAAGUCAUGGUUAAGUGGGAAACGAUGUGGGAAGGCCCAGACAGCCAGGAUGUUGGCUUAGAAGCAGCCAUCAUUUAAAGAAAGCGUAAUAGCUCACUGGUCGAGUCGGCCUGCGCGGAAGAUGUAACGGGGCUAAACCAUGCACCGAAGCUGCGGCAGCGACACUGUGUGUUGUUGGGUAGGGGAGCGUUCUGUAAGCCUGUGAAGGUGUGUCGUGAGGCAUGCUGGAGGUAUCAGAAGUGCGAAUGCUGACAUAAGUAACGAUAAAGCGGGUGAAAAGCCCGCUCGCCGGAAGACCAAGGGUUCCUGUCCAACGUUAAUCGGGGCAGGGUGAGUCGACCCCUAAGGCGAGGCCGAAAGGCGUAGUCGAUGGGAAACGGGUUAAUAUUCCCGUACUUGGUGUUACUGCGAAGGGGGGACGGAGAAGGCUAUGUUGGCCGGGCGACGGUUGUCCCGGUUUAAGCGUGUAGGUGUGUGUUCCAGGUAAAUCCGGUUCACUUUAACACUGAGGCGUGACGACGAGGCACUACGGUGCUGAAGCAACAAAUGCCCUGCUUCCAGGAAAAGCCUCUAAGCAUCAGGUAACAUCAAAUCGUACCCCAAACCGACACAGGUGGUCAGGUAGAGAAUACCAAGGCGCUUGAGAGAACUCGGGUGAAGGAACUAGGCAAAAUGGUGCCGUAACUUCGGGAGAAGGCACGCUGACACGUAGGUGAAGUGAUUUACUCAUGGAGCUGAAGUCAGUCGAAGAUACCAGCUGGCUGCAACUGUUUAUUAAAAACACAGCACUGUGCAAACACGAAAGUGGACGUAUACGGUGUGACGCCUGCCCGGUGCCGGAAGGUUAAUUGAUGGGGUCAGCGCAAGCGAAGCUCCUGAUCGAAGCCCCGGUAAACGGCGGCCGUAACUAUAACGGUCCUAAGGUAGCGAAAUUCCUUGUCGGGUAAGUUCCGACCUGCACGAAUGGCGUAAUGAUGGCCAGGCUGUCUCCACCCGAGACUCAGUGAAAUUGAACUCGCUGUGAAGAUGCAGUGUACCCGCGGCAAGACGGAAAGACCCCGUGAACCUUUACUAUAGCUUGACACUGAACAUUGAGCCUUGAUGUGUAGGAUAGGUGGGAGGCUUUGAAGUGUGGACGCCAGUCUGCAUGGAGCCGACCUUGAAAUACCACCCUUUAAUGUUUGAUGUUCUAACGUGGACCCGUUACCCGGGUUGCGGACAGUGUCUGGUGGGUAGUUUGACUGGGGCGGUCUCCUCCUAAAGAGUAACGGAGGAGCACGAAGGUUGGCUAAUCCUGGUCGGACAUCAGGAGGUUAGUGCAAUGGCAUAAGCCAGCUUGACUGCGAGCGUGACGGCGCGAGCAGGUGCGAAAGCAGGUCAUAGUGAUCCGGUGGUUCUGAAUGGAAGGGCCAUCGCUCAACGGAUAAAAGGUACUCCGGGGAUAACAGGCUGAUACCGCCCAAGAGUUCAUAUCGACGGCGGUGUUUGGCACCUCGAUGUCGGCUCAUCACAUCCUGGGGCUGAAGUAGGUCCCAAGGGUAUGGCUGUUCGCCAUUUAAAGUGGUACGCGAGCUGGGUUUAGAACGUCGUGAGACAGUUCGGUCCCUAUCUGCCGUGGGCGCUGGAGAACUGAGGGGGGCUGCUCCUAGUACGAGAGGACCGGAGUGGACGCAUCACUGGUGUUCGGGUUGUCAUGCCAAUGGCACUGCCCGGUAGCUAAAUGCGGAAGAGAUAAGUGCUGAAAGCAUCUAAGCACGAAACUUGCCCCGA
rnacentral:rRNA from 1 species